UGUGUAUUAGCCUAAUCUGCCGUCUUGGCUGAACUGGUGUUCAAAGAAUUAUGAGAUAUGCCGACCUGGAAGGGUGAGCCUCACAGCUCAAACGGUUACCUGUGGAGCUCAGAGAUAAUCUUACAAUCUGUGAACAGCCCAACAAAAGGUUGUCAUGGUCACUUCAUGUAGGAUAUUGGCUUGAAUAUAUUAAAAGGAAUAGUCCGGUGUAGAAUUAAUUUAAGGUCAAACACUGUAACACAGAGUUAGACACCCUCCCAAGAGAUGAAUGUUGCCGACCGCUUGCUUCUCUAGUUAUACAAACUUUAGUAACGACCGCAGGAUAGCAAUACACAGAACCAUGCGCUCAACCAAAACGCCACUCUAUAGCCACAAAUAAUGCCCAGAACAGCACCUAACUUCAUCAGCAGUACAUAUAGGGUCCUAGCCAUCGCACUAGCCACCAAACAUUCUUUUUAAUUUUGCCUAAUUUCUUUAGCAAAGAGACUAAACACAACUCACCUACUCUCUUCCAGCAGCCGCUUGUCUGUAGCGACACCUCAGGCCAAUCCAUUACGGACUGCUGCAGGGUGACGCAGCUCAAGGAAGAACAUUUAUGAUCAUUUCUUCAUGGAAAUGCAAUCAGACCGAGACACUAAGGCGGAAGAACUACUUUGUCGGCAGAGCAAAAUAAUAAAUAUGGUGAUUAUUACUUCAAGGAAAUGAUAAAGUAAUGAUGUUACAGUGUGUUUGACCCUAACUUAAUUUUAAGCUGGAAUAUCCCUUUAAUCAUAAACAGAGGUAUUUCUCCUCCUUGUUGAAGUGAUAAUUUUCGUACUUAAUACUGAGUGAAAGCAGAUUCCAAUCUUGCUCUUUAGGAUUGAAUUUGUGGUGGGACUGCAACCUAUCACAAUUUGGAUCAUGCAUUCUGGCUGUAAAUCUUAAGCCAAAAGCAUAAAUAGUCAAACACAGUGUUUGCUUUCCUUUCAAUGCAUAAUGUCCCCACAAAAGUGCUCAUUUGUGAGCAAAUUUCUUCUCAGUGUGGCUCUUAGUUUGAAACUGUUUACUCUGGAGAAUCCAUCCGUCACAUGUCUGCUGUCUCAGAUUGAUGAUCCAUUCCUGCCAUCUGGUGCGCUGCGUGGUGCACCCAUUUUUCACUUACAAACAGGGAUGAUGUUGACAGCUUGAAUUAGCCAGCAAACAUAUAUAUCGCUUUAAAUUGUCAUGCCAGGAAAACAUCGGUGGGUCUAGCUGGUAAUGACAAAGCCGAAGUUACCUGCUGGCAACAGAUGUCUUUCAGCCCAGAGUGAAAGGUUCAGCUCUAUUAAUGCUUGUGAUCUCGUGCCAGCAGUGCCAUAUACCACUGAGACCUUCUCCUUCUCCAUCUAUCAUGCAUUAGAUGCCUCUGAACCCCAAUUAGCCCAGUUAGAGAAGGGACUGCCUUCAUCAUUACCAGGUCCCCACUGAAACAACAGCUCAUCGCAGCUUUCAGUGUGAUCAUCCCUCACAGUUUCCUAUGUAUCCGUGGAGUGUAUAUUUGUUGAAGUGCAGCUUGCUAGCAACCACUUUGUGUGUCUCACUCUGUCAGACUGUAUGCCUUCAGAUCAAAACGCCUUUCAUCAUGGUGCUCCUCCGAAAAGCAAAAUAUCUCUCCCACACCAAGCAAAGAUAGAAUUUAGCAAACAAAGUGGAUCACACUGUGAACACAGAGAUGCCAGGCUUCGUUAUGAUUUUCAGAGGAAGAGGAAGUACUUCACAAUUACUGAGGAGGGGGCAUGCUUAAUGACUAGAAAUGGCCGAUCCAGAUGGCCUCAGCUGCAGGGUGGUGGCAAAGAAGAGGCCGGCCAGUUUGAUACAAGACUGAUAAUCUGUCAAGAAAAUCUGCAUCCUUUAGCGAGUCGCCAAUACCUCAGGUUUGAUUUCUCAAUGAUUUUGUAUCAUCGACUCUGCUGUUAUUUGUUAUAUUUUAGGCAGCAAGAAGAAGCCGAAUUAGUCAUCCGAGUUUCCCAGAAACUUUCAGAAAGAGGUCCUUGCAAUAAUUGGGAGCAGUAUAGGCACACAGGCUUGAAUAAUGAUAUGCAGGAGCUAUGUGUUUACGAGCAUGUGUGCAUGUGCAGACUGAAGGCCAAGGGGAGUCAUAAGGCGGUCAUAAUUAUGUCAUUAAAAAGAGUGACAUCUGGAACUCAGGGGCCAUCAAGUAACAAAGAGUACCAACCUCCUUCCCUCCUUUGCCCCCUGUGACAGUGACAAUCGACUCACAUCUCCCAGCAAUCUGCCCAUCUCUCACGAGGGAGCGAGGCGUGAGCUGCUGUGGCGUUGUGGUGGUGCAAAAAGAGGGGGGAGGGGUGAACAGGUGGCGGGCAUGAGGAAAUGGAUGGGGAAUGUUUUGAAUGGGAAACUUGCUUCCAUUCCUCACGGAGUACCUGGGAGUCUGCCCUUCACCGGUGGUCCAAGAGGCACAGCGAGGACGGGGGAGAGAUGAAAUGGGAACAGGUGGUGGUUUGUCGUUUUACGAGGAAUGGAGUUCCCCCUGUAGAUCUGCCAAAGCACUGCCAAUAGAGUGAUAUGGGCCACGCCUUCACAACAGGAACCCCACCCUCCCGCUGGAUGCCCUCAAAGGGGUACUUACGGUAUGGAAACAAAAAGGAUUAACAAGAAGCUCACAAAUGAUGAUUGGCGGGUUGUAAAUGAAAAUUCCCAUUCCUCCACUAUCUAUUGUAUGAAGUGAAGAGUCCAAUCAGGACAGGAUUUAACUCAAAGACACUUUAUAAAGAGCGAAUUCAACAUCCAAGCAUUGCCGCUGUGGUGGGUGGUUAUUUUAGAAAAUUUGGAUUUCAUACCAAUGUCCAGGGAUCCGUGAUAAAUGCGCCAUUCAAAAGCAUUGCUGUAUCUUUAUUUUCUUAAAGGGCAGCAGCAUCAGAGGGAGGUUAAGUAUGCUGAAAGAAGCACAAAAAAAAGAGUCCAUAUCAAAGAAAAUAUUUUUGGACAGUAAUCACAUCAGGUUUUUAGCUUCAAUACUGACACUGAGAUGCAGAAAGAGGGAUAUGAGUAGAGAUAAAAACAGUCAGACCACGAUAGAGACAUACAGACAGCAACAAAAGCAACAACAGAGAACAGUCACAGAGGCAACGCUAAAGAUAAAAGUAGAAAUAUGACCAAUAUUUGCAAUAACAACAGGAUAAAUGUUAGCAUACGCACGAGAGGAAGGUGAACAAUGUGAGAUUAAUGACAUACCUGCCUCAAUCUGUUUUUGGUCGAGGGCCAAACUACUUUCAUUUUGUACUUUGAUUGAAUCGCAGUCACACUCCCCACUCUUUGAACUGCCACUGUCCCACAUGUGCUCCCUCAUCUGAGAUGUUGCAUUGUAAUUAACAGCUCCCCCAACCUCUGAGUGUGCAUUACUCAGCAGGGCCUCGCCCUCCCCCGCAGCGAUAUCCUAUUAAUAUCCACCCCCCCUAAUUCUUUCUCCUGGUACUGUAAUGUUUUGGCCACAGAAGCUUAGGGCAUUUUUAGCCUCUCCGGUGCAAUGAGCUCAAUCUCACACCUCUGGUACAAGACACCUGUCUACCACAGGAAGCAUGGUUAUGUGCUUUGUGACUUUGUAAUUGUGCCUCAGCCCAUGGUGGCAGCAAGAAAAGUACUCUAAUUGCCAUUGCAUAUGCUGCUAUUCAUUCUUUUUCAGUAUAACAUCGCCGACAAUUAAGCUGGAGUUGUAAUUCCUCCUCCUGGAUAUGAUAUUUUCUCAGUUUGAAUGGGUAUCCAUCAUCUUUACUCUGUGUGACAGAUACGCUCAUGGAUUUUGCCUCUUAGUCACAGCUUUAGGAUGGCUGCAUUUGGUUGAAUCACUGAGAUGUAUUUUAAUUGUACUGCUGUACAUCACUGGCUAAUAUCCAUCAAAACAACACGGGCAAAAUUCAAUUCUUAGAGAUAAGCAACUUCUGAGGAGAAACUACAUCUGCGAUUGUGCUCGUUUUAUUAUCUAAACCUAAAAACAUUUGAUGUUGUUGCCUACGCAUUCUUACAUUGUCAAUUGAUUGUACUCUGUCCUAAAUGCUAUUACAGUUUAUGUUAAGCUCCACAUUUUCUCCUCAGAAUUGAUGUCACAGUGUUUGUCUCAUUUACACCUACUGACAAAAGGUGCAAAUAUUUGACAGCCGUGUUAAAUUCGAACCUUGAAUAUCUCUAAAAUGCAUAAUAAUAGGAGAUUGCUUCAAGGAACACCUCUAGAAAUAGUAAAGAAAGGUGAUUUAAAGUUUCACACCAGACAAGCUUGAAGGACCGGCAGUAGUUUUGUAAAAGUGUAAGUUAAUAAAAUAGCUGAAAACUUUCACGAUGCAUAUCAAUGAGGAUUAUCCUUGGCUUACUUUUACAGCUUUAACACUGAAUUUGAGAAUAGCCUUUAAGUCUCAUAACUGGCGGUGCGUCUUUAUUAAUGGUAAUUUCUAUCUGAUCAACAAUUAAAAGGCCCAUCAACAGAUUCAGAUAGAAGCAGUGGAUAGACCAAACAGACUUUGCUUCUUCCAAGUCACAAAGCUGAAAUCUGUGUUUCCCAGUUGUUUCCAAGAUGCAGCACCAAUAGAAGCAUUUCCACAGCAUUUGGUUCAGGUAUAAAAGUCCAGAGACUUCAGGUUUCUUUAGCAUGAACCCUUGCCCCCAUUUUGCCAACACCCCUCAUACUUUCCCCAAGCACUGCCAUCAUGAGGUUAGGGCUGGGCGAUUUGGGAAAAUGUUUGAUACAAUAUAUUUUUUUCACAUCAGACGUAUCAGCAUUGCGUAGAAGAAGAGGACUGAAUGGUCAGCUGUUUCAGCUGCACAGGCGCCAUGGGCUCCUUGCUCCGCUUGGGGUUUGUAACCUUUUGCAUUGUGCGUGCUCUGCCGCAUGGCACUGCUUCAGGUGGUGAAAAAGACUUGAGGUAUUCCCAGACUUUGCGAGAACAUGUACUCAACAUAAUUAGCAGUACAUAUUACUCUGCUUCAAGUCCGACCUAAAAAAAAACCCAAAUACCUCCACACCACUGACGUUUUCGUGCAUCUGUUGAGCCUUCAUCUGCAUUUCUGCUGGGGGUAACACUCAUUUUCUUUUUUUCUCCCCAACAGUGCUGUCUGCUUCACGUGUUAAAGUGCUAUGGUUGCGUGUAGCUGCAGCCUUCUGCUAUGCAGUUGUUUGCUACUUGGUUCUAGUUCAGCACAUGAUUGGUUCAGCGCGAAGCGGACCUGGGGCAACUCCCCUUUUCAUUGGCUAUUCAUAUAGUCUACCAAAACAUGGCAGAAUGCCGACUAUCAAAAAGGAUAUUGACCAUGUUUCAUAUUGAUAUUGAGAGAAAUUAAUUUUUGAUAUAACAUAUUUUUAUCUCCCAGCCCUACAUGAGGUCAAUAUAUUUAUAUUUCCUUGGCUGAUUGUUUUGUAGAUUUUGAUGCCCUGUGCUACAGACAUUCAUGGUCCCCAGGGGAUGAAAUCAUGAAAGGUAUAGGCAUGAUGUUGACUCUUAUCCUGUUUAUAUAAACAUAAGAUUCAAUGACAGCAAAGCCACUAGAUGCCACAAGAAGGAACAGAAAACUGUAUAUUAAUAAUUUUUGUGAUUUCGUUGCUCCAGCACUUUCAAAUAUGGUAUUUAUCCAAAGUGUACACAGUUUUCUUCCCUCUGAUGGAGAAGAUCAGAGGAGCAGCCUCUAUCUCUAACAUUGAUGUAAAUCUAAACCAGCACACACGGGUAGCUGGCUUGAAAGUGAAGCCUGGAGGGAAGUCUUUUAAAAUCAGAUCCAAACUGAAGGAAUUGUGAGCAAUGCUGGCCAGUGCUUACAACUUGUAGCUACACAUGGUCUCUUCACCAGCUGAUUUUCUGUUAUGUUUGGUUAUUGAUCGGCACCGUGACGCCAGGCACUAGCACAGUUCAAGACAGAGAGGUAUCAGAGGAGAAAUGUAUCUUUGCUUUUUUGCACAACCUCAUAUUGUGAAGGGAGACCUAUUUAUUACUUGUAUUGUAACGAUGACUGGGGCUAUUUUAGCUAGGUUAACUCAGUCUCCUUACACGUUCCAUCAUCUAAUCUUCCUGACGUUGUCUCCAUGCAGCCAUUUAUUGAGUCCGUCCGUCUGUCAGCCCGUCCUUGCUCCCCUGAGCUCCCUGCAGUCAUGUAGACUCUGCUUGAAAUCCUUCAAUCCCAUUAGGCUUUGUAAGUAUUUCUUUGCCCAAUGUCUGACAAGUUAAACAAAGAAUCCUUGUCCUGAAUCUGUCCUCUUCUUUUCUUUUUAAAAAAUCAAGCAGCAGCAGAGAGAAAGGCAAGUCCUUUAAAUACACCUUUGCCAUAUAAUGGGUGCCAAAUGCAACAUGGCAUAGCAAAUGAAAUAGUCAUUCAUAAUUUAGGAUUAGGGUUUUUAAUGGGUGACUCCCAGUCCUGUAAUACAGUGCUCCUUCAACAGUUUCCAGUUUGUAAAUAAUGUAAUGCAGUCUUAAUGAGUCAAAGUGGCCACGGGCCAUGCAAUAGUAAUGAAGGCUGGGAGCGGGCAUGAGCCGAACUGAGAUAAUUCUGUUUGAGGAGGACGGUCAAAUAUCCACAGCUGUCAUUAGACACAUCUGCAGGGAUGAAAGAAUGUGUUCCUUUUUAUUUAUUCAUCUCACAAACUGUCAAGUGCUCUAAAGGCUUGGUUUGUUCAACGUCAGGGUACAAAUGAAGAGAAAAUGCAACGAGUGAGGAGACAUUUCCUGAUUGCGAGCUUGCAUAAAUUUUAGGAGAUGGUGUGUACAUUAUUGUGCGAGAAAGAAAAAGUAAUUCUCAUUUGUCAUUUGGUAUCUGUGACUCAGCACAAACUUAAAAACGUAAAUUUAGUUAAUUAAGACAACCAUCAGACGGGUUCUAAUGGCAAACAGCUGGAGCUUUUUAUACAACACCUAAUGUUGUUAUCUUUAGGAACACCUUUUUUAUUUCAGCUCAGGUCUCAAAGGUCAAAGCAGCCUCUCGAAUCAAAAUCAAAACCACUAAACCGCGCGCUGAUUGAGCCUGAUGAGAAAAAAAGAGUCUUCUGCAAAGAGUGCUUCUGUUUUAAGGGGUUUAAGAGACAUGAAGUGGUCUUUGUGGUGUGUGAUAUAAUUUCUUUGCAGGAAAAAGCAAAAAAAAAAAAGACACUAACAACGACAAAAAAAAAAACAAAACAAAGAAAAGCACAUUUGCAGCCAUUUGGCUUUUUAAGCAUCUUAACCACAUGAAAGACAUCAAAACGUGUCAGUUUGACUAAGUAGCUUUAGCCCAUGCAUGUCUGCUCCUCCUUCUGAAGCGUGCCAUUCAGUUUUAAGUAAUAAAAUCCUUCCAAAUCCCCUGAAGGAAAACAGCAGCUUAAGUAAGGUUAAUGUUCACUCUAUCUGCUUUCUUCUUUCUCUGCAAGAUUAUAUUGAAAGAUGUGAAUUACCUCUAUCAAACAAGCAGUGAGCCACAAUGAAAUGAGAGUAAAGGACAUCAAGAAGUGACCCAUGUGCAUAAUGUCAAAUUCUAUCAGUGAGCCUCUCUGGUGAAAAGGGGAAUAAUUACUAUGCAUUAGCUUUGUUGAAUAGUGCGGUUAUUAAAGAGAUACUAUUAUUAUAGAGCUUUGACAAUGUGACAUUUUUGUCAGUACAAGCCCAUGUUGUUAAAUCAUCCCGUUGAAGUUGCAUUCGUCAUUGCAACCCUAAUUCCUCAAGUAUAAAAAGGCACAAUGGUGAAUUUUGCAUUAUCUUGCAUGACCCAUAGAUGUCCUUGUUCAGCAACUCUUCCUGCUCUGCCUCUGUUCUAAAAAUAAGUCACCUCUUUUAAGGGGUAUAAAAUGAAAAGAGUAUAUCGUUUCCCUGAUGUAAGAGACUAUACUGACACAACAUCACACAUGUCUGUGAUAAAGAUAUGAGCCAUGUGUUUCUCUCCCUCUUUUCUUUAGUCAGGUUUAAUUUGGAAUCACAGCUUUUCUCCAAUGCUCUGUGUUUGUCAUGCAGUUAUGAAUAUGUUACGGAGGGAAGCUUUUUGGAAGCUGCAGCAGUGCAGACUCAUGUCCUCUGUAGCCUCUACGGGGGUUUGUGUGGUUCCGUGUCUGAAACACGAGUUGAUCUAAAUAAGCAACAAGCUGGCAAUGUCUUCCACUGAUUUACACAUUAUGAAGACAAAGAGAAAAGUCCAGACGUUAUCCCAAGUUCUUGUGUUUGAAAGAAAAAAAUCAACCCAGACUGCCUGUAACAGAUUUGACUUGCAGGUAUGAUUAUCUUUCAUGAUUAUUCAUUAUUUUCACUGCAGCUUGAAAGAGUGCUUUUAGGGUCUUUUGUAAUAAUUCUUUCUUUUUCUGCAGCCUCAAACUUUGAAGUGAUUUUUGAGUCUUAUUCAUGUCUUUUAGGCUUAAAGAUUCAAUAUAAUGAAAAACACACUUUUCUUCUUCUUUGUUACAUCACCACAGGAGAUAAUUCAAACCUGAGAGUGUAGAUGCCAAAAAGCCUGAGCAAUGUAGCUGUAGCCCACCAGGGAAAACAUAGUAUUGAGAGGUUGGUUUGAAUUUUCUCCUGUGGUGAUGUAACAACAGGAAUGAUCUGCAUAGAAACGCAUGCAAAAACAUUCCCAGGUCUUGAGCGAUGCUGCAGCUCCUGCACUUUUGUCGUUUUUCCUAUUGUGUUGCAGAGUGAAGAUGUCUAAGAGACGGUAACUGCUCUGUUGCUGGGUGUACAAACCAACACAAAUGUCUUUGUUCAGUCCCAGAGCUGGAGGAUAAAAGACGACUUUUUAUUUAUAAAGACAAACUGCUGGUGACAGUUGGUGCCCAUUGGCUGCUUGUUUGUUGUUUGUACCAAUUACCUGCCACCUUGGACUGCCUUGACAACAGGGUUUGCUUUGGCAUCAGCCCUCAUAAAGGAAUCUACCAACAGUUUGUGACUUGACAACAGAUGUGUCAUCAGCUUGUGGAGCCACUUUGUGAUAGUAUUUUAAGUUUGUGGCAGCGUGGUAAUUCUUCUGGAUCACUCGCCAUGUCUGUUUUUGUGUUUUUCCACCUCUGCAUUUCUAUGCUCAAGUCGUCACCCCCCUUCCUAAAACAAUAUUUAGGCAGCCAAUCAGUACAUCGCCUCACUAUCAAAGCUUCACUGCCCACUCAGGUGAGUGUAAGGAUGAUGAGGUUAGACAGAGCCAACCCAAGGCAUAAGCGAACUAAGCGCCUGCUUAGGGCCCCGCAGCCAGUAGGGGGCCCCCCAAGAGCAAUUUAAAAAAAGUAAGAUUUUUUAAUUUUUUGCAUGUAUGAUUGAUGCUUUCUGUCUGAUCAAACAUAUAUAUUAUUGUAAAAAUAAAAUUAAGUAAAUACAUUUUAGUACAAUGUCGCAAAAAAGAACAUAUCCUUCAGGAGCAGAGAAAAGAAAGAGGAAGAAGAGAAAAAACGCUAAGAUAAAAAUAUGUUUGCAUGCCACGGAAUGCUAAUCAAAGAGAUUUGUGAAGGUGUGUGAAUGAUCAAUAAUCAAUAUUACUGGCAGAAAUAGAGAGCCCCAAAAUCAAAUCUUGCUUAGGGCCCCAUUGAGGCUUAGGCUGGCCCUAAGGUUGGAAACUGAGAGUCUACAGAUCUUACACAGAGGCCGAAUAAAUGAUAUUUUUUCAAACCUGACUUAAAAGACAACCAAGACAUGCUGUAAACGGAUAAAAGUACUUUUACAUUCUAUUUUACAGCUUCUUGAAUUACUUCAGACAUUAUUAAGAGUCAAAAGGCUGUGACAAAACCAAGAAGAGUUUGGAAAUCCUGAUCCAGAGCUUAUUUGAACAUCACAACCUGUGGCAUCAUCAUUGCAGGUGUUUUUGUUUAUUCCAGGAGUCAAGAAAUCAUUUUCCACCUUCAGAUAAACACAUUUUGAAUAUAUAAAACUCCUGUCAGGGCUAAAGUGUCUGUAAACUCACUUUCGGAGGUGUAAAUAUGCAGUAUGUAAAGCUUUUUGGAUCUUUGAAUCACAAAGGUAAAAAGACUGUCAGCUCCGGUGCUGCAGCGCCUAGAUCUUAACGAGUGAGCAGACAAGAGGAAUGUGGAGCAGACGUGGGUGGUAUUUAAAACUACAUAUAAAUAAAUAAAAGGUGAAAAUAAAUAAAUAACUCCUACCUACAUCAGUGAGCUGAUAGCUAUCUCUUGUGAGAUCUAUCCAAAUGGAGCAAACGGAGGACAAGCUGCUUAAUUUUGGUGGUUUAGCCUUGAAUCUUCCCGCGGUGAUAGAUUAUUAUUCCACACAUGUUUUAGUGAUAUUAACCCAGUGGAAUUAUCUCUGCAUUGAGUCGAAUUGCACCUUUGACUCGUAUAGGAGCAUGUUUAUGAACAGAUCUUCUUAAUCAUACAAAAAAAAAACUGAGUGGCUUCAUUUUCGUAGGCAUUCAAGUUUCAAUUCUUUCAUCACUUCAGAGACUGGAUACUAUGAAUGUAAGCUAUGACAGAGCACUUUUCAGCCUAUUAUUCAAAUUGAGCCUUCAAAAAAUAUAAAAGGACCCAAAAGAGUAUAGAUUUGUAGAGCUAUUGCCUGCCACUCCUACAAGGGAGGGAAAGAGCCUUUUCAUUGUUCAUUUCGUAGCUGUUACAGACUUUUUCACAUAACCCAGCAUUCACCUGUACACUUCAAGUGCAUGUACAGUUUGAAAGGCAGUAGUUACAGGAUCUGCAGGGGGGAAAAAAAACAACAUUCUGCUUAUGAUGGAGAGAAGAGAGGAGGUUUUAUGAGAGCAAGUUUCAAGCUGACACAAUACAGCUUAAAUAACUUAAUGCUUCCUCUACUCUUGUCUCAGAAAGAAAUCAAGGUGCAAGAAUAACGGCGCAUCAUCGCUGGAAGAGACUGUGCGAACUGCAGUUCUCAUAAUAAAGUAAACAAGGGUUGGUCUACACGUGAAAGAGUAAGGGCUAAAUUGAGUAUUAUAUAAGUGAAAGAAGUGAGAGGAGAGGAGAAAUUCACUAUUUCUGUCUUUUAUUAAUAGUCUUUAUUCUUAUCUAUUUCACUUUCUCGUUUCCUUAAAACCAUCACAGACAGGGACGAGUAUCUAUCCGAAAUUUUCUGGACACGAGUUCUUUCAUCGCUUCAUUUCCAGCUAACUCAGUCACUCUAAGCGCCCCUCUUGGCUGAGUCCCCGGUUAAUGUGAGGUGUAAAGCCAUAAGACUGCCUUAAUAGGUGCUGGUAUAUGGUGUUGGUGGAGCUAAAGCAGAAGCGACUCUGCUGAUAGAACCAAGGGACUUAAUUUACACAUGUACUGGGAAAAAGGUUGUGAGCCACUGGUUCACAGCUUGGUUUGGGUCAGAGAUGAUGAUGCUAGCCAGCCAAGAUGUGUACUUGUUGUUCAUUUGGCAGCCUUAAGGUCCUUGCACACCGGGGUCGAUGCCAAUAUAGAACGCCUGACUAUACACAUCAAGCCCGAUG